GACGAACGCUGGCGGCGUGCUUAACACAUGCAAGUCGAACGGUAAGGCUCCAGCUUGCUGGGGUACACGAGUGGCGAACGGGUGAGUAGCACGUGGGUGACCUGCCCUGCACUUCGGGAUAAGCCUGGGAAACUGGGUCUAAUACCGGAUAGGACCAUGGUGUGGAUACUGUGGUGGAAAGUUUUUUCGGUGUGGGAUGGGCCCGCGGCCUAUCAGCUUGUUGGUGGGGUAAUGGCCUACCAAGGCGGCGACGGGUAGCCGGCCUGAGAGGGUGGACGGCCACAUUGGGACUGAGACACGGCCCAGACUCCUACGGGAGGCAGCAGUGGGGAAUAUUGCACAAUGGGCGGAAGCCUGAUGCAGCGACGCCGCGUGGGGGAUGACGGCCUUCGGGUUGUAAACUCCUUUCACCAUCGACGAAGGGUUUCUGACGGUAGAUGGAGAAGAAGCACCGGCUAACUACGUG
rnacentral:rRNA from 1 species